AUUGAACGCUGGCGGCAGGCUUAACACAUGCAAGUCGAGCGGAGAUGAGGUGCUUGCACCGUAUCUUAGCGGCGGACGGGUGAGUAAUGCUUAGGAAUCUGCCUAUUAGUGGGGGACAACAUUCCGAAAGGAAUGCUAAUACCGCAUACGUCCUACGGGAGAAAGCAGGGGAUCUUCGGACCUUGCGCUAAUAGAUGAGCCUAAGUCGGAUUAGCUAGUUGGUGGGGUAAAGGCCUACCAAGGCGACGAUCUGUAGCGGGUCUGAGAGGAUGAUCCGCCACACUGGGACUGAGGCACGGCCCAGACUCCUACGGGAGGCAGCAGUGGGGAAUAUUGGACAAUGGGGGGAACCCUGAUCCAGCCAUGCCGCGUGUGUGAAGAAGGCCUUAUGGUUGUAAAGCACUUUAAGCGAGGAGGAGGCUACCUAGAUUAAUACUCUGGGAUAGUGGACGUUACUCGCAGAAUAAGCACCGGCUAACUCUGUGCCAGCCGCCGCGGUAAGAC
rnacentral:rRNA from 1 species